rnacentral:lncRNA from 1 species
GAACCCUUUAAGUUAAAGAACCUUGUGUUUUCUAUGCCCCUGCUCUGAAAAAGUGGGGGUAUACUAUUUUACCCCUCUCACGAACUACAAUACAAGGAUUUCUGAAAUUUUGUUUAUAUAUGUCAGCUAUACCAUAUUAUGCGUUUUCAGAUUCAUUACUCAACAACUUUCUGUUUACUGGACACUUACAUCAUUUUACACACGACACCUAUAUUGAAAAUGUCACAUUUUUCGCAGGAACUACAUUACAAGAAAUUCUGAAAUUUGGUUUCAUGGUUUAUAUCAGUCAGCCAUACUAUAUGAUGUAUUUUCAGAUUUAUCACUCAACAACUUCCUGUUUACUGUCAAGUAUUUGGGCGGGG